AAUAAGUACAGUUUUGCACUGUUUAUGUUCAACAUUUGACCAUUCAUCUUAUUUGAAAAUUUUAUAUAAUUAGUUUUUUUAGAUGAUAAAGUAUGAAUAGUAAUUUAUAUGUGACUAUUUUUAAAAAAUAUAUUUAUAAUUUUUUUUAAAUAAGACGGACGGUCAAACGUUGGACACGGAUACCAACGGCUGCACUUAUU
rfam:Oryza glaberrima chromosome 12 Oglab12_0187_10, whole genome shotgun sequence.